rnacentral:rRNA from 1 species
GACCGGAGGAAGGUGAGGAUGAUGUCAAGUCAGCAUGACCUUUAUAUCCAGGGCUACACACACGCUACAAUGGUCUGUACAAUGGGUAGCCAAGCCGCGAGGCGGAGCCAAUCCUGAAAGCAGGCCUCAGUUCAGAUUGCAGUCUGCAACUCGACUGCAUGAAGCCGGAGUUGCUAGUAACCGCAGGUCAGCAAUACUGCGGUGAAUACGUUCCCGGGUCUU